rnacentral:rRNA from 1 species
CUGCUCAAUGAUUUUUUAAAUUGCUGUGGUAUUUUGACUAUACGAAGGUAUUGUAAUAAGGUCUUAAAUAGAUGCUAAGAGAAUGGUUGAACAAGGAUUUACUUUUUUAGAUUGAAUAUUUGAAGUUGGUUUUUAAGUGAAAAGACUUAAAUGAAUUUUUGGGACAAGAAGACCCUAUGAAUUUUUUAUUAAGUAAUUGAUUUAAUUUUUUAAAUUGAUUUUUAAUUUGGUUGGGGUGAUUUUUAAAGAUUAAUAAUCUUUAAAAAUAUAAAUUGAUCCAUUAUUAAUGAUUAAUUGAUAAAAAUACUCUAGGGAUAACAGCGUAAUAAUUUUGGAUAGUUCAUAUUGAUAAAAUUGAUUGCGACCUCGAUGUUGGAUUAAGAUACUUUUAUAAUGAAGGGGUUAUAAAAAGAAGUUUGCUCAACUUUUAAUAUCUUACUUGAUCUGAGUUCAGACCGG